rnacentral:rRNA from 1 species
UGCCAGCCGCCGCGGUAAUACGGAGGGGGUUAGCGUUGUUCGGAAUUACUGGGCGUAAAGCGCGCGUAGGCGGCUAUAACAGUCAGGCGUGAAAGCCCCGGGCUUAACCUGGGAACUGCGUUUGAUACUGUAUAGCUAGAGAUUGGAAGAGGAGAGUGGAAUUCCAAGUGUAGAGGUGAAAUUCGUAGAUAUUUGGAAGAACACCAGUGGCGAAGGCGGCUCUCUGGUCCACAUCUGACGCUGAGGCGCGAAAGCGUGGGGAGCAAACAGGAUUAGAUA